rnacentral:lncRNA from 1 species
UGCCUCCAUGGUCACCGCGGGAUGCGGAGAGCUAGGUUCCACCAUGAAGGGUGGAGGAGAGGCCUCUUCCCGGCGGAAAGAGCGCCUCGCCGAUCCGGUGACCCUCGACCGUUGAGCUCUUGUUCUUGUCAUUUUAGGAGAUGUGUCGAGUUCCGUGGGGGUUACAAUCCCUGGUGCUGUCGCCGCCCCUUCCUGGCGCGCCAAUCUGUUGCGGCCAAUCCCCUCGUCGUCUGGUCGUCGGGAACGAGCACCUGCAAAAGAAGUCCGCACUGACCGGAGGUGACUCCGGCGGAGACUCUCCGACGGUCAAGUCAGAGAGGAGACUAGACAAUAGUAGACAAGAAUCAAGGAACUCAACGAGAGAGGGUGGCGCGAGAACGAGAGAGGAAGGAUUCAAGGGUUUCGAAAGGACCUCCUCAGCACUGUUGCCUUCUCUGAUAUAUAUAGU